AUGGGUGUUGUUAAUGGUAACCAGAGUUUUGUUUUCAGUGGCGAUUAUUUUUGGAAGACACUAGGACAACUGAGUCACCCGUCGUAUUUUAGGGAAAAGGAUGAAACAAGAAACCCCAAAGGAACAGGUGAAGAUUCGCUAGGCAGAUUUCUGCCUUGUACUGAAAGUUUUUUGGGUCAAGAUAUAUGUACGUGCAUGAGCUCAGAUGGAACUUUCCUGAGCCAUGGCGGGGCUGAAUUUAGCCGUGAGCUAAGGCUCUCAGUCACUCAGAGUGUCAUCCAGCAGAGAAUGGCUAGCGUAUCCUGGGGCUUUGUUUAUUGAAAAGAGGUCCAAUAAGCACACCAUGUUCUUAGAGCAUGCUGGCCUUGCUCUUCUCCAAAUGGCUCCACAAUACUAAGCAUCUCUCUGAGCACCAUCAGCUGCUGACGUGACUCACCGUCAACAGCCUCCAGGACCUUCAUGAAUCACAGCUCAUGGGCAGGCUCUUGCCAGAAAUCGAAGUUAUAACCUCACUGGUUACUGUGUACUUUUAGAAACCCAAAUUAGCUUUCCUCAGGGAAACACUAUGGUGGUUGGCAAAAGCAGACACCUCUUUCUGUCAUCUUGGGCACAGCUUGAUGCUGCUAUGAGUGGCUGGCCAUUGCUGAUGGCAGAGUUUGCGAGAGGGAAGUGAUAGGGAGGGAACUGGGAGGAUGUAGCUGUUUGACUCUGACUCUGACUUUGACUCAGACUUUGAUCUGAUCAAAGGUGUUUAGCACCAGGCUCAGCUGGCUUAGAAGAAGGAGUACAUGCUUGGUGGAUAGACCCCAGAGUCUGAAUUCAGCUUCCAUUGCAUAUUUUGUAUUAACUUCUCAUAUUCCUCAGCGUCCUCAUCUAUAAAAUGGGCAUAGAGAUUUCCUCUUAGAUCUGUUGUGAGGAUGAAAACACAGAAUGCUUGUAAAUGACAGUCUGGUAUAUAGCAGAUAUUCAGCUUUCCUUUCUCUCUAGUUGGUUUCCAGGUUUGUGACUGACAAUUCAAAUAAAUGAGGGGUUCACAGGUUUUUUUUUUUUAAUAAAGGGACAGAGGGCAAGUAUUUCAGGUUUUGUGGGCCAGGAGGCAAGAUUAAGGAUAUUAUUUACAUGGACGGAGGUUCGUGACAUUGUCCAGGAGACAGGAAUCAAGACCAUCCUCGAGAAAAAAAUGCAGAAAACAAAAUGGCUGUCUGAGGAGGCCUUACAAAUAGCUGUGAAAGAAGAGAAG
rnacentral:lncRNA from 1 species